AACGAACGCUGGCGGCAUGCCUAACACAUGCAAGUCGAACGAAGCCUUCGGGCUUAGUGGCGCACGGGUGCGUAACGCGUGGGAAUCUGCCCUUUGGUUCGGAAUAACAGUUGGAAACGACUGCUAAUACCGGAUGAUGACGAAAGUCCAAAGAUUUAUCGCCAGAGGAUGAGCCCGCGUAGGAUUAGCUAGUUGGUGUGGUAAAGGCGCACCAAGGCGACGAUCCUUAGCUGGUCUGAGAGGAUGAUCAGCCACACUGGGACUGAGACACGGCCCAGACUCCUACGGGAGGCAGCAGUGGGAAAUAUUGGACAAUGGGCGAAAGCCUGAUCCAGCAAUGCCGCGAGUGAUGAAGGCCCUAGGGUUGUAAAGCUCUUUUACCCGGGAUGAUAAUGACAGUACCGGGAGAAUAAGCCCCGGCUAACUCCGUGCCAGCCGCCGCAGUAA
rnacentral:rRNA from 1 species